AGUGAACGCUGGCGGUAGGCCUAACACAUGCAAGUCGAACGGCAGCACAGUAAGAGCUUGCUCUUACGGGUGGCGAGUGGCGGACGGGUGAGGAAUACAUCGGAAUCUACUUUUUCGUGGGGGAUAACGUAGGAAAAUUAAGCCAAAUACGCAUAAGAACCUCGGGUGAAAGGAAGGGAACCUUGGACCUUGGGCGGAUGAAUGAGCCGAUGUCGGAUUAGCUAGUUGGCGGGGUAAAGGCCCACCAAGGCGACGAUCCGUAGCUGGUCUGAGAGGAUGAUCAGCCACACUGGAACUGAGACACGGUCCAGACUCCUACGGGAGGCAGCAGUGGGGAAUAUUGGACAAUGGGCGCAAGCCUGAUCCAGCCAUACCGCGUGGGUGAAGAAGGCCUUCGGGUUGUAAAGCCCUUUUGUUGGGAAAGAAAAGCAGCAGGUUAAUACCCCGCUGUUCUGACGGUACCCAAAGAAUAAGCACCGGCUAACUUCGUG
rnacentral:rRNA from 1 species